rnacentral:rRNA from 1 species
CCUACGGGGGGCAGCAGUGGGGAAUAUUGGGCAAUGGGCGCAAGCCUGACCCAGCAACGCCGCGUGAAGGAAGAAGGCUUUCGGGUUGUAAACUUCUUUUCUGGGGGACGCACAAAUGACGUUACCCCAGGAAUAAGCCACGGCUAACUACGUGCCAGCAGCCGCGGUAAUACGUAGGGGGCAAGCGUUAUCCGGCUUUAUUGGGUGUAAAGGGCGUGUAGGCGGGAAUGCAAGUCAGAUGUGAAAACUCAGGGCUCAACCCUGAGCCUGCAUUUGAAACUGUGUUUCUUGAGUGCUGGAGAGGUAAGCGGAAUUCCGUGUGUAGCGGUGAAAUGCGUAGAUAUCCGGAGGAACACCAGUGGCGAAGGCGGAGUGCUGGACAGUAACUGACGCUGAGGCGCGAAAGCGUGGGGAGCAAACAGGAUUAGAUACCCGGGUAGUC